UACGAGUGCCUCAAGCGUUAUCCGGAAGCAUUGGGCGUAAAGGUUGUGUAGGUGGUUGUAUUAGUCUUCUGUUAAAUUCUUCGGCUUAACCGGGGGCAUGCAGGGGAAACGGUACGACUAGAGGAUGCGAGGGGUCUGUGGAAUUCAUAGUGUAGCAGUAAAAUGCGCAGAUAUCAGGAGGAACACCGGUGGCGAAGGCGGGUCUCUGGACCGAUACUGACGCUGAGGAGCGAAAGCGUGGGGAGCGAACAGG
rnacentral:rRNA from 1 species